AAAAGAAACUAACAAGGAUUCCCCUAGUAACUGCGAGUGAAGCGGGAAAAGCUCAAAUUUAAAAUCUGGCGGUCCUCGCGGCCGUCCGAGUUGUAAUCUGGAGAAGUGUUUUCCGUGCUGGACCGUGUACAAGUCUCCUGGAACGGAGCGUCAUAGAGGGUGAGAAUCCCGUCUUUGACACGGACUGCCAGUACUUAUGUGAUACGCUCUCAACGAGUCGAGUUGUUUGGGAAUGCAGCUCAAAAUGGGUGGUAAAUUCCAUCUAAAGCUAAAUAUUGGCGAGAGACCGAUAGCGAACAAGUACCGUGAGGGAAAGAUGAAAAGAACUUUGGAAAGAGAGUUAAACAGUACGUGAAAUUGUUAAAAGGGAAACGCUUGAAGUCAGUCGCGUUGGCCGGGAAUCAACCAUGCAUUCGUGCUAGGUGCACUUCCUGGUCGACGGGUCAACAUCAAUUUUGAUCGUCGGAUAAAGGCGUGGGGAAUGUGGCAACCUCGGUUGUGUUAUAGCCCCGCGUCGCAUACGAUGGUUGGGAUUGAGGAACUCAGUACGCCUUUAUGGUCGGGGUUUACCCACGUAACGUACUUAGGAUGUUGGCAUAAUGGCUUUAAUCGACCCGUCUUGAAACACGGACCAAGGAGUCUAACAUGCCCGCGAGUGUUUGGGUGGAAAACCCGAGCGCGUAAUGAAAGUGAAAGUUGAGAUCCCUGUCGUGGGGUGCAUCGACGCCCGGACCAGACCUUCUGUGACGGUUCCGCGGUAGAGCGUGUAUGUUGGGACCCGAAAGAUGGUGAACUAUGCCUGAAUAGGGUGAAGCCAGAGGAAACUCUGGUGGAGGCUCGUAGCGAUUCUGACGUGCAAAUCGAUCGUCGAA
rnacentral:rRNA from 1 species